rnacentral:rRNA from 1 species
GUGUCAGCCGCCGCGGUAAAACGUAGGUGGCGAGCGUUAUCCGGAUUCAUUGGGCGUAAAGAGCUUGUAGGCGGCGUCAUAAGUUGGACGUGAAAACUCCGGGCUUAACUUGGAGAGGCCGUUCAAUACUGUGGUGCUGGAGGGUGUCAGAGGGAAGUAGAAUUCCUGGUGUAGCAGUGAAAUGCGUAGAUAUCAGGAGGAAUACCCGUGGCGAAGGCGGCUUCCUGGGACACAUCUGACGCUGAGAAGCGAAAGCUAGGGGAGCAAACGGGAUUAGAAACCCCCGUAGUCC